rnacentral:lncRNA from 1 species
CUACUUUGAAGUUUUGUGGAGACCAUUAUGUUACAAGAUUAUCAUUUUCAUGAAGUAUAGCUUUUUUUCUAUUGCAUGCUUAUUUUGGUUUGAUGGAAGUCUAUAAGGUGAUUCUAGGGUUUGAGUUUUGGUUUGCUGGUUUUAAAAGUUAAAACUUCUGUUAUGCAUGUUAAAAAUUUUUGAAAUUUAUAUUCUGCUAUACGAUCGGAACCCACAUCUUACACUAGUCUUCAAGGAGCUCAGUAUGGA